ensembl:misc_RNA Metazoa_SRP Metazoan signal recognition particle RNA
GCCGGACGCAGUGGCGCGCGCCUGUAGUCCCAGCUACUCGGGAGGCUGAGAUGGGAGGAUCGCUUGAGCCCAGGAGUUCUGGGCUGUAGUGCGCUAUGCCGAUCGGGUGUCCGCACUAAGUUCGGCAUCAAUACGGUGACCUCCCGGGAGCGGGGGACCACCAGGUUGCCUAAGGAGGGGUGAACCGGCCCAGGUCGGAAACGGAGCAGGUCAAAACUCCCGUCCUGAUCAGUAGUGGGAUCGCGCCUGUGAAUAGCCACUGCACUCCAGCCUGGGCAACAUAGCAAGACCCCGUCUCUU